GACGAACGCUGGCGGCGUGCCUAAUACAUGCAAGUCGAACGCAGUGGGGACGGGUGAGUAACACGUGGGUAACCUCCCAUCAGAGGGGAUAACACUUGGAAACAGGUGCUAAACCGAUACUGAUGGAUGGACCCGCGGUGCAUUAGCUAGUUGGUGAGGUAACGGCUCACCAAGGCCACGAUGCAUAGCCGACCGGAGAGGAUGUUCAGCCACACUGGAACUGAGACACGGCCCAGACUCCUACGGGAGGCAGCAGUGGGGAAUAUUUGACAAUGGACGAAAGUCUGACCCAGCAACGCCGCGUGAGUGAAGAAGGUUUUCGGAUCGUAAAACACUGUAGUUAGGGAAGCGGUAUCUAAACAGUAAGCCACGGCUAACUACGUGCCAGCAGCCGCGGUAAUAC
rnacentral:rRNA from 1 species